rnacentral:rRNA from 1 species
CUCGGGUGACGACCGGCGGAGGGGUGAGUAAUGUCUGGGAAGCUGCCUGAUGGAGGGGGAUAACUACUGGAAACGGUAACUAAUACCGCAUAAUGUCUCAUGACCAAAGUGGGGGACCUUCGGGCCUCUUGCCAUCAGAUGUGCCCAGAUGGGAUUAGCUAGUAGGUGGGGUAACGGCUCUGCUAGGCGACGAUCCCUAGCUGGUCUGAGAGGAUGACCAGGCACACUGGAACUGAAACACGGCCCCAACUCCUACCGGAGGCAGCAUGGGGGAAUAUUGUGCAAUGGGCGCAAGCCUGAUGCAGCCAUGCCGCGUGGGUGAAGAAGGCCUUCGGGUUGUAAAGCACUUUCAGCGGGGAGGAAGGCGUUGAGGUUAAUAACCUUGUGUCUUGACGUUACCCGCAGAAGAAGCACCGGCUAACUCCGUGCCAGCAACCGCGGUAAUACGUGAGGGUGCAAGCGUUAAUCGGAAUUACUGGGCGUGAACCGCACGCAGGCGGUCUGUCAAGUCGGAUGUGAAAUCCCCGGGCUUGCCCUGGUAACUGCAUUCGAAACUGGUUAGCUAGAGUCUUGUAGAGGGGGGUAGAAUUCCAGGUGUACCGGUGAAAUGCGUCGAGAUCUGGAUGAACUACGGUGGUAUCUGAUGCUGU